rnacentral:rRNA from 1 species
UACGUAGGGAGCGAGCGUUGUCCGGAAUCAUUGGGCGUAAAGAGCAUGUAGGUGGAUCAAUUAGUCUGCUGUGAAAGUCAAAGGCUCAACCUUUGAAAGCCGGUGGAUACUGUUGAUCUAGAGUACGGAAGAGGCGAGUGGAAUUCCUGGUGUAGCGGUGGAAUGCGCAGAUAUCAGGAGGAACACCAAUAGCGAAGGCAGCUCGCUGGGACGUAACUGACACUGAGAUGCGAAAGCGUGGGGAGCAAACAGGAUUAGAUACCCUGGUAGUCCACGCCGUAAACGAUGGGUACUAGGUGUGGGAGGUGUCGACUCCUCCCGUACCGUCGCUAACGCACUAAGUACCCCGCCUGGGGAGUACGGCCGCAAGGCUAAA